GCGCGCCUAGCUCAGUGGUAGAGCACUGCCUUCACACGGCGGUGAAAAGUCAGAUGCCAAGCGGUUUUUCUGGCUGAAGGCGGCA
rnacentral:tRNA from 1 species